rnacentral:rRNA from 1 species
UAACGGCGAGGUGAAGCGGCAAGAGCUCAAAUUUGAAAGCUGGCUCCUUCGGGGUCCGCAUUGUAAUUUGCAGAGGAUGCUUCGGGAGCGGUCCCCAUCUAAGUGCCCUGGAACGGGCCGUCAUAGAGGGUGAGAAUCCCGUAUGGGAUGGGGUGCCCGCGACCAUGUGAAGCUCCUUCGACGAGUCGAGUUGUUUGGGAAUGCAGCUCUAAAUGGGUGGUAAAUUUCAUCUAAAGCUAAAUAUUGGCCGGAGACCGAUAGCGCACAAGUAA